AACGCACAUUGCGCCCCCUGGUAUUCCGGGGGGCACGCCUGUCCGAGCGCCAUUACACCCCCCAAGCCUGGCUUGAUGUUGGGCCAUGAUGCGCUAAUCACGCCCCAAACUUCUGGGCGCCCCCCUCCGGCCGCGAGCGUAGCAAGAAUUUCAUUCCUCGCUCCGCGUGCCCGGUGGGUGGCCGCCCUCGAAACUCAUUUUCUAAGGUUUGGCCUCGGAUCAGGCGGGGAUACCCGCUGAACUUAA
rnacentral:misc_RNA from 2 species